ensembl:lncRNA
CUUUAUCGAACAAAACAUACAUGUUUUGUGUAACAUGAAGUCCUAUGAGUGUCAUCUGAUGAAGAUCAUCAAAGGUUACUAAUUCAUUUUUUCUCUAUUUCUGCUUUUUGUGACUCCUCUUUUUGGCUGGAAAAAUGGCUGUGUUUUUCUGUGACAAGGCACUCACCUAACAUAAUUGUUUGGUGUACUUUCAUCGUAAACCUUUUUGAAAUCGGACACUGCGGUCGGAUUAACAACAAGUUUAUCUUAAAAAUGGUGUAAAAUACUUGUAUGUUUGAGGAAUUUUAAUGAUGAGAUUUCUGUUGUUUGAAUUUGGCGCCCUGCACUUUCACUGGCUGUUGUCAUAUCGAUCCUGGUAGCAGGAUCUAAGCCAUAAGAGGUUUUAACAUAUGUUUCCCAUGCUAAUAAAGCCCCUUGAAUUGAAUUGAGAGAGAUAGAUAGAAAGAGAGGAGGGAGAGAGAGAGAUAGAUAGGAAGGAGAGAGAGAUGAGGGGAGGAAGUAGAGCAGGGAGGGAGAGAGGGAGAGAGAGAGAGGGAGAGAGAGAGAGGGAGAGAGAGGGAGAGAGAGAGAGAGAGAGAGAGAGAGAGAGAGAGAGGGAGAGAGCAUGAUAGAGAGAAAGAAAGAGACAUAGGGAGAAAUAAUUAAUUAAUGUUAAACAGAGGACGAUAGGACCAUCCCCAUCUUUUACCAGCAGAGGGAGGUAGCACCCUACCUGCAGGUCUAUUGCUCAGUCACAUCAACCCGCAGCCCCAACUUAGAGAUUGUGUGCAGUUGGCACACCUCAUCACACCUCAAGGAUAUUAUGAAGAUUGCCUCUAAACUGAACUGAAAUUGGUUUAUGAAUGUUAUAUUAUGUAAUAGAACUUUAUUUAACCUUGAUGAGUUUGAAAGUGGUGAACCUAUUAUAGACUUUACGAUGGGAAAUGCCAAAACGUCAAUAAAAACAUAAGUGCUAUAAUAAAUAUGAAUAAUGUAUCAUUCUGGGUAGGAAGUGGAACAACAAAUGGCCCUUAGUCAUAUUAUGGGACAUCUGGUCAUGACGUCUUUAAAGACACCUUGAAACAGCCAGUGGGCCAUCUGUUGGUAAUAAAGACAUGGAGAAGGUGAAUAUAGAGAGAGGACUGUGGCUGGCCUGGACAAGGGCAGGGCGGGACUUGGCUGGGGCGGGGCGGCAGGAGCCAUGGGCUGCAUAACAAAUGGUCUGUGCUAUCUUGGUUCCUUGGGACGUCCAUACCCUAUUGAAGUUGAAAUGUAAAAUGGUUAAGGUUAGGGUUAUGGUUAGUGUAAGUGUAGGGGUAAGGUUAGGGGUAGGUAAGGGUUACGGUUAUGGUAAGUGUGAGUAUAGGGGUUAAGGUUAGGGGUACGUAAGAGUUAUGGUAAGUGUAGGGGUUAAGGUUAGGGGUAGGUAAGGGUUACGGUUAUGGUAAGUGUGAGUAUAGGGGUUAGGGUUAGGUGUAGGUAAGAGUUAUGGUAAGUAUAGGUGUUAAGGUUAGGGGUAGUUAGUGUAGGGGUUAAAUUUAGGGGUAGAUAAGCGUUAUGGUUAGGGUAAGUGUAAGUAUAGGGGUUAAGGUUAGGGGUAGGUAAGCGUUAUGGUAAGUAUAGGUGUUAA